rnacentral:rRNA from 1 species
GAGUUUGAUCCUGGCUCAGAACGAACGCUGGCGGCGUGCUUAACACAUGCAAGUCGAACGUGAUCCGGAGCUUGCUCCGGUGAAAGUGGCGCACGGGUGAGUAACGCGUGGAUAACCUGCCCUGGUGUCUGGGAUAACAUCUCGAAAGGGGUGCUAAUACCGGAUAAGCCUACGGGCUCUUCGGAGUCUGCAGGAAAAGGAGGCCUCUAUUUAUAAGCUUCCGUAUCAUGAUGGGUCCSCGUACCAUUAACUAKUUGGUGGGGUAAUGGCCUAYCAAGGCKACGAUGGUUAGCUGGUCUGAGAGGAUGAUCAKYCMCACUGGAACUGAGACACGGUCCAGACUCCUACGGGAGGCAGCAGUGGGGAAUUUUGCKCAAUGGGGGAAACCCUGAC